rnacentral:tRNA from 1 species
AAGGCACUAGUAAAAUUGACCAUUACACUGCUUUGUCAAGGCAGAAAUGUGGGUUAAAGCCCCACGUGCCUUA